GGACAUAGCUCAAGAGUAGGGCUCCUGCCUAGCAAGCAUGAGGCCCUAGGUUCAAUCCCUGGUGCCA
rnacentral:tRNA from 1 species